GAAAUAUGAUAAAGACAUAAAGAAAGAAAAAGAUAAAGGAAAAGCUGAAAGUGGAAAAGAAGAAGAUAAAAAGAGCAAGAAAGAAAAUAUAAAGGAUGAGAAGACAAAAAAAGAAAAAGAGAAAAAAAAAGAUGGUGAAAAGGAAGAAUCCAAAAAGGAAACUCCAGGAACUCCUAAAAAGAAGGAAACUAAGAAAAAAUUCAAACUUGAGCCACAUGAUGAUCAGGUUUUUCUGGAUGGAAAUGAGGUGAGAGUAAGCCUAUAACUAGAAGUUCAGUUUUCUAUAGGAGUUUUUAGAAAGAUGUUUGAUGCCUUCACUAAUAAAAGGAAAAAUUUUGAGAAAUCUAAUUAUGCUCUUAAAUGUAUAAAAGCUACUCCAUUUUUAAAAAUCAAUAAUUUCUCUUAUUUAGAUUUUUAAAAGUCAGAUUUGACUGUGAGUGAUAGGAAACCUGAAAUAAAAGCAUCUUAAUACAAAAUAGAUGCUUAUUUCUUUUUUAUCAGUGAAAUCUGUAGGUAAGCUGUACAGAUACGUCAGCUCCAUGGUGGAUCCCAGCUCUUCUUUUCUCCUCUGUCUGAGGCUUCUAGCUAAGGUUACCUUAUGGUCCAGAAUGACUGCCAAUCUUAUAUCUGC
rnacentral:lncRNA from 10 species